ACUAAGCGUACACGGUGGAUGCCCUGGCAGUCAGAGGCGAUGAAGGACGUGCUAAUCUGCGAAAAGCGUCGGUAAGGUGAUAUGAACCGUUAUAGCCGGCGAUGUCCGAAUGGGGAAACCCAGUGUGAUUCGUCACACUAUCGUUAACUGAAUACAUAGGUUAACGAGGCGAACCGGGGGAACUGAAACAUCUAAGUACCCCGAGGAAAAGAAAUCAACCGAGAUUCCCCCAGUAGCGGCGAGCGAACGGGGAGCAGCCCAGAGUCUGAAUCAGCUUGUGUGUUAGUGGAACGGUCUGGAAAGUCCGACGGUACAGGGUGAUAGUCCCGUACACCAAAAUGCACAGGCUGUGAACUCGAAGAGUAGGGCGGGACACGUGGUAUCCUGUCUGAAUAUGGGGGGACCAUCCUCCAAGGCUAAAUACUCCUGACUGACCGAUAGUGAACCAGUACCGUGAGGGAAAGGCGAAAAGAACCCCGGCGAGGGGAGUGAAAAAGAACCUGAAACCGUGUACGUACAAGCAGUGGGAGCACCUUCGGGUGUGACUGCGUACCUUUUGUAUAAUGGGUCAGCGACUUAUAUUCUGUAGCAAGGUUAACCGUAUAGGGGAGCCGCAGGGAAACCGAGUCUUAACUGGGCGUUAAGUUGCAGGGUAUAGACCCGAAACCCGGUGAUCUAGCCAUGGGCAGGUUGAAGGUUGGGUAACACUAACUGGAGGACCGAACCGACUAAUGUUGAAAAAUUAGCGGAUGACUUGUGGCUGGGGGUGAAAGGCCAAUCAAACCGGGAGAUAGCUGGUUCUCCCCGAAAGCUAUUUAGGUAGCGCCUCGUGAACUCAUCUUCGGGGGUAGAGCACUGUUUCGGCUAGGGGGUCAUCCCGACUUACCAACCCGAUGCAAACUACGAAUACCGAAGAAUGUUAUCACGGGAGACACACGGCGGGUGCUAACGUCCGUCGUGAAGAGGGAAACAACCCAGACCGCCAGCUAAGGKCCCAAAGUCAUGGUUAAGUGGGAAACGAUGUGGGAAGGCACAGACAGCCAGGAUGUUGGCUUAGAAGCAGCCAUCAUUUAAAGAAAGCGUAAUAGCUCACUGGUCGAGUCGGCCUGCGCGGAAGAUGUAACGGGGCUAAACCAUGCACCGAAGCUGCGGCAGCGACACUAUGUGUUGUUGGGUAGGGGAGCGUUCUGUAAGCCUGCGAAGGUGUGCUGUGAGGCAUGCUGGAGGUAUCAGAAGUGCGAAUGCUGACAUAAGUAACGAUAAAGCGGGUGAAAAGCCCGCUCGCCGGAAGACCAAGGGUUCCUGUCCAACGUUAAUCGGGGCAGGGUGAGUCGACCCCUAAGGCGAGGCCGAAAGGCGUAGUCGAUGGGAAACAGGUUAAUAUUCCUGUACUUGGUGUUACUGCGAAGGGGGGACGGAGAAGGCUAUGUUAGCCGGGCGACGGUUGUCCCGGUUUAAGCAUGUAGGCUGAUUGUCCAGGCAAAUCCGGAUAAUCAAGGCUGAGGUGUGAUGACGAGGCACUACGGUGCUGAAGUAACAAAUGCCCUGCUUCCAGGAAAAGCCUCUAAGCAUCAGGUAACAUCAAAUCGUACCCCAAACCGACACAGGUGGUCAGGUAGAGAAUACCAAGGCGCUUGAGAGAACUCGGGUGAAGGAACUAGGCAAAAUGGUGCCGUAACUUCGGGAGAAGGCACGCUGGUGUGUAGGUGAAGUCCCUGCGGAUGGAGCUGAGACCAGUCGAAGAUACCAGCUGGCUGCAACUGUUUAUUAAAAACACAGCACUGUGCAAACACGAAAGUGGACGUAUACGGUGUGACGCCUGCCCGGUGCCGGAAGGUUAAUUGAUGGGGUUAUCCGUAAGGAGAAGCUCUUGAUCGAAGCCCCGGUAAACGGCGGCCGUAACUAUAACGGUCCUAAGGUAGCGAAAUUCCUUGUCGGGUAAGUUCCGACCUGCACGAAUGGCGUAAUGAUGGCCAGGCUGUCUCCACCCGAGACUCAGUGAAAUUGAACUCGCUGUGAAGAUGCAGUGUACCCGCGGCAAGACGGAAAGACCCCGUGAACCUUUACUAUAGCUUGACACUGAACAUUGAGCCUUGAUGUGUAGGAUAGGUGGGAGGCUUUGAAGCGUGGACGCCAGUCUGCGUGGAGCCAACCUUGAAAUACCACCCUUUAAUGUUUGAUGUUCUAACGUUGGCCCCUGACCGGGGUUGCGGACAGUGUCUGGUGGGUAGUUUGACUGGGGCGGUCUCCUCCCAAAGCGUAACGGAGGAGCACGAAGGUUAGCUAAUCCUGGUCGGACAUCAGGAGGUUAGUGCAAUGGCAUAAGCUAGCUUGACUGCGAGCGUGACGGCGCGAGCAGGUGCGAAAGCAGGUCAUAGUGAUCCGGUGGUUCUGAAUGGAAGGGCCAUCGCUCAACGGAUAAAAGGUACUCCGGGGAUAACAGGCUGAUACCGCCCAAGAGUUCAUAUCGACGGCGGUGUUUGGCACCUCGAUGUCGGCUCAUCACAUCCUGGGGCUGAAGUAGGUCCCAAGGGUAUGGCUGUUCGCCAUUUAAAGUGGUACGCGAGCUGGGUUUAGAACGUCGUGAGACAGUUCGGUCCCUAUCUGCCGUGGGCGCUGGAGAAUUGAGGGGGGCUGCUCCUAGUACGAGAGGACCGGAGUGGACGCAUCACUGGUGUUCGGGUUGUCAUGCCAAUGGCACUGCCCGGUAGCUAAAUGCGGAAGAGAUAAGUGCUGAAAGCAUCUAAGCACGAAACUUGCCCCGAGAUGAGUUCUCCCUGAGACUUUAAGUCUCCUGAAGGAACGUUAAAGACGAUGACGUUGAUAGGCCGGGUGUGUAAGCGCAGCGAUGCGUUGAGCUAACCGGUACUAAUGAACCGUGAGGCUUAACC
rnacentral:rRNA from 1 species